GCCAACGACCACACCACGUUGAAUACAUCAGUUCUCGUCCGAUCACUGAAGUCAAGCAACGUCGGGCGUAGUUAGUACUUGAAUGGGUGACCGCUUGGGGGAACACUACGUGCCGUUGGCA
rnacentral:rRNA from 1 species